AGUGAACGCUGGCGGCAGGCCUAACACAUGCAAGUCGAACGGCAGCACAGUAAGAGCUUGCUCUUACGGGUGGCGAGUGGCGGACGGGUGAGGAAUACAUCGGAAUCUACUUUUUCGUGGGGGAUAACGUAGGGAAACUUACGCUAAUACCGCAUACGACCUACGGGUGAAAGCAGGGGAUCUUCGGACCUUGCGCGAUUGAAUGAGCCGAUGUCGGAUUAGCUAGUUGGCGGGGUAAAGGCCCACCAAGGCGACGAUCUGUAGCUGGUCUGAGAGGAUGAUCAGCCACACUGGAACUGAGACACGGUCCAGACUCCUACGGGAGGCAGCAGUGGGGAAUAUUGGACAAUGGGCGCAAGCCUGAUCCAGCCAUACCGCGUGGGUGAAGAAGGCCUUCGGGUUGUAAAGCCCUUUUGUUGGGAAAGAAAAGCAGCAGGUUAAUACCCCGCUGUUCUGACGGUACCCAAAGAAUAAGCACCGGCUAACUUCGUG
rnacentral:rRNA from 1 species